GCAAUAUGGUGGGUUGCCCUACUAUCUAUUACCCAUUCAGCCGAUUUUGGGGAAAAAUGAGAAGGGAGAUGAGUCGUAUCUACGAAAGCCAUGGGAGAGGUUUUGAGUAGUUCCAAAAUUUGAUUGUAUUGCUCAGUGGUAAGGCUAGGGCGAACAUUCAUGGUGGAUGUCAUCGAAUUUCCCAAUGUCGAAGAGGUGUCAACAACAUGAAUUGUGGCUUGGUGCUGCUGGUGACGAAGAAGACCUGGUCAUGCUGCGUUUAUUCUUGAAUGGCCACCAUUCCGAAUAUCCAAUGAACUCGAAGCAUUUAGCAAGGGAGUGACCGAGUUUGUCGCAUUCCUCACACAACGGCGUCCCAGCCGACCAAACACGAUGGGGACGGGAUGGGUUUCUUUGAGAAGUCGUCGACCGAGUGAGUAAAGCUGAUACCUCUGGGUGAGAAGCAGGUUGGAUCAUCCUCUAGGUUUCUUCUUGGUAGAGGAUGGUGUAGCAUCGGCCAAUCGAGGGGAGAGGGUCUGUAGCCAGAAUUUGAGACCUGAGUUGUUGAAAACUGUCGUUCAGUCCCAUAAGGAAUUGGUAUACUCAAUCGGAGUCUUAGAUGUCGGAAAAAGCUUUGGCUGCCCCACAGGUACAUGGGUUCGUGGGCUGUAGGGAUAUGCCAAUUCAUCCCAUAAUUCCUUCAGUUUUCCAUAGUAAUCGGUGAUUGAUUGGUGCUCUUGAUGGAGAUUUGCAAGUUCCCGUUUCAAUCGGAAAAUUGGUACGGUUGUUUUGUUGAAAUCGUGUCUCCAAUUCAAUCCAGAGGUCAUAUGGCGUAUCACAAUAAAUGAGACUCCCUGCAAGGGAUUGAUCGAUGGAUUGAAGAAGCCAAGACAUAAUCAUAUCACAACAUCGAUCCCAUAGUUGAGCAGCGACCAUAUCAUCUGUUGGGCGUUUAAUGGUCCCGAGGACAAAACCAAGUUUGUUCUUGGCAUUAAGGGCUCGGGUUAUGGCACGAUGCCAAGAAGGAUAGUUGUCGCCAUUGAGGGGUACAUCGACAAGGGAUUGAUUUGGUUGAUCCAAAGGGUGUAAGAAGUAAGGAGAUAGGGCAUCUGUGGAUGGUUUUGCAGCAAGCGCAGGUUGAUUUCCGGCCAUGGAGAGGUAUGGAAUGACUAAACCUCUUGCUCUGAUACAUGUUAGAUUUAGGUUUUGGAAUAAGAAAAAUAACUCUUCAUUGAUUUGAGAUGCAAUACACAGUGAUAUAUAUUACACGUGAGUUGGUUGAAAAGGGAAAUAGAAUUAAUCUUGGAAUGAAAAUAAAUAAUAUGUCCUGGGAUUUCUAUUAAUAUGGAUUGUGAUGCUAAAUCGACCCCUUUUAGGCUAUUGUGAAAGUGGGCUCGGCCAAGCUACUUUAACUAUUGCCUGCACUCAUUUUAAAUGGACGAGAUCGUGUUUGAGAAGUGCAAAUUAGUUGUUUGUAGUUGCCUCUUGAGUUGAUGAGUUGGUAGUUACUCUGGAUUGUUGAUCUUGAUCUGAGAUCAAGGGUGGUCACUGAGGGUAUAAAUAGACCCUUGCGCUUCUAUGACUUUCGAACAAAAAUUUGAGGUAGACAAACUUGCCCAUAUAUCUAAUAUUUUGCAUCUGAUAAUGUUUCGAAAAAAGUAGGAAAGUUAGACCUGUGAAAAAAGUUAGAAGAACUUUGCUUAGUGAAAUUCCUACCAAACAGCUAUUUCUUUAGAAAGAUGUUUUAGUUUUAAGAUUGAUUCCAUAAAAGAAUUAGAUGAUAAUUUGGAUGCCUAUAACAAAUUGGUUCAAGACAUCACAAACACGGGGAAAAAUGUAUCUUAGGAGUAUAAAACUCAAUGCUAUUCAUGACGUCUAUAGAUAUAUCAAAAAAAAAAAAAAACUAUGGCAGAGACAUUCCUACUCCUGAAAUUGUCAUCAAUUCUCUAAGAAGUAAGAUCUGGAAUUGAAAUCUGAAAAAACUGGUAAUUCUAAGAAUUUGUUGCUAAGGGUUGGAUCAUAGAAAAGCAAAAUGGGAGUGUACAAGAAAAAAAAAACAAAAAAACAAAGUAACUAGGGAAAUAAUCAUUUGAAAAAGAAUAGGAUCAAAGUCUAAGGCAAGGAAUAAGAAAUGUUAUGGGUGCGGUGAAACUGUUACUUUAUAAAAGGUUGCUAUAACAAACUAAAUAGGAAGAUAAAGUUAUAAAUGAAAGGAAUACAGCAGAACUCCUAAAGUCUAACAUUGUUGAUGUCUACAUAAUCACUGAACCACAAUCUGAUUUGAAUACUUUAAAUUUUGUAGCUAACAAUAAUCAGAUCCAAGAAUGAAUAUUGGAUUUUGGUUGCAUAUUCCAUAUGACUUCUAGGAAAUAUUGAUUAGAAAAUUGUAAGAAAAUUAAUGGGGGAAAUAUGGUGAUGGAUAAUAAUAUGGUCUGCAUUGAAAUUUAAAAAUGGAUUAUUCUACCUGAACAUAAUGGACACCAUAAUCCAUUAUGUACCCAAAGUAUUGUCCUUUAAAAAUAGAUCUAUCAAUACUGUUGAAAAGUUUAUAGGUUCCAAAUUUAAAUAGAAAUUUGAUUUCAAUGGAGGAUAUAGAUGAAAUAAGAUUAGAAAUGGCAUGUUAAAAGUGAUAAAGGGAUGACUUGUCAUUUUAAAAAAUAACAAAAAAAAAAUGAAAUUUAUGUCGAUAAAGCUGAUGUAGUACUUUCAUUGCUGAGCCUCCAAUGCUAAAUUGAUUGCACUUUAAAGUGGCAUAAAAGGUUGAGACGUGAGUGAAAAAGGCCUUCAAAUUCUUCAUAGAAGGGGACUGUUUGAAAAACACUUCGCCCUUGUUUGGCCCCUAGUAAAUUACUUUUCAUUACAUUCUAUUUUUCUCUCUCAUAUUUUCAACCAUACAAUCUUCUACAAAAUAAUAUUACACGUAAAUCGAAAAUUUUUCCUUCUUUUUCAACCACUCAUUUUUUCAACAAAACACUAUUCCUCCCAUUUUCAUUACUAAAAAUGGGGGUCAAACGGGGGCUUCGUUUCAAAAGUUUCAUUUUUGUGAGUUUUGCACUUAAGGCAAAAAAAAAAAAACACAGGCUGUACUUUAAUACUAGGAAACAUAACUUCACUUGUAUUUUAGAGCACAUAUAUUCAAUCCUUUGGGUCCUUCAUCUACUAUCAUUUAAGGGGAAAUAAUCGAUAAUUUUUCAAGGAAAGUCUAAUUUUUCUAUUGAAACAAAAAAUAGAUACUUUUGAAAAGUUUAAAGCAUGGAAAACUUUGUUAGAAAAUCAGAUUGGUAAGAAGAUUAAAAUUCUUAAAACUGAUAAUAAUUUGGAAUCUAAACAGAAUUCUAUUAUACAAAAUUAUGCCUUAUAAUCCUCAAUAGAAUAGGGUUGUUGAGAGAACGAAUAUGACUCUUCUAGAUAAGGUCAGGUGUAUGAUAAUUAAUUCUAGGUGUCCCUAAGAUUUUAUAAGGGAAGCUGUAAUGAAAGCUUUUUAUAUUGUUAACAGAACUCCUUCUAAUGCACUAGAUGUAAGACGUUUGAAGAGUUAGAAGAAGAUAGUGUUCAGGGAUUGAGAGAACAAACUAUCUUAGAUGACUAUCAACUAAUAAGAGAUAGAACUAGAAGAGAGAUAAUGGAACAAUCUAGAGUUCGAGAUUACCUUUCUCUUGCUGAUUUUCUUACCAAGAUCCAGUUUUUAAGGAGCCUAAGUCAUAUGAUGAGGCUGUUAGUAGUCAACUAUCUAAAAAUUGGCAAUCUUCCAUGUUAGUAAUGACAAGUAAGACUUGGAUAUUAGUUCCAUUGCUUGUAGAUAAAUCCUUAGUGGACUACUAGUGGAUUUAUCGUGUUAAGGAAGGAAAUUCUGAAAAAGAGCCUCUUAGAUUUAAGACUAAACUAGUUGCAAAAGGCUUUAUCCAAAAGUAAAGUAUAGAUUAUAAUGAAACUUUCUCCCAUGUUAAAUAUACUACAAUUAAGGUAAUGCUUGCGUUGGUUGCUCAUUAUAAUUUUGAACUUGAAUAAAUGGAUAUAAAAACUACUUUUUAGUAUGGAAACUUGGGAAAAAACAAUUUAUAUGAGCCAGUCACAGGACAACUUUAUAGAUAAGAGGAAAUCUGAUCAUGUAUGCUUGUUAAAAAGACAUUUGUAAGGGAUUAAACAAUUACCUAGAUAGUGGCACAGAAUAUUUGAUACUUUUGUUGCAUCUAUUGGUUUUAUCAAGAAUGUAUUUGAUCGUUGUUUAUUCUUUAAAAAGAAUGAUGAAAACGAUGUGAUUGUUAUUUUCUAUAAUUUGUGAAUGACAUGUUAUUGAUCGGAUUUUCACGAAAUAAUUAUUCAAUUUAAAUCUGCAAGUGUACGGUCUGUAACAAGUAAUAAAGUAGAAAAUUGAGUUUGAAUGUUGUCCCACAAAAAUUGAAUAUAUAGUUUAAUUUUACCUCACUA
rnacentral:lncRNA from 1 species